UUAUUGAAUGGCUGAAAAGAAAGCAAUGGUCUCUUAAACCAAUUUAUAGUACUCACAUACUUUCAAUAAA
rnacentral:tRNA from 1 species